AUUGAACGCUGGCGGCAUGCUUUACACAUGCAAGUCGAACGGUAACAGGCCUUCGGGUGCUGACGAGUGGCGAACGGGUGAGUAAUGCAUCGGAACGUGCCCAGAGGUGGGGGAUAACGCAGCGAAAGCUGUGCUAAUACCGCAUGUGAUCUGAGGAUGAAAGCGGGGGACCAAGCAGCAAUGUUUGGCCUCGCGCCUCUGGAGCGGCCGAUGUCAGAUUAGGUAGUUGGUGGGGUAAAGGCCUACCAAGCCGACGAUCUGUAGCUGGUCUGAGAGGACGACCAGCCACACUGGGACUGAGACACGGCCCAGACUCCUACGGGAGGCAGCAGUGGGGAAUUUUGGACAAUGGGCGCAAGCCUGAUCCAGCGAUGCCGCGUGCGGGAAGAAGGCUUUCGGGUUGUAAACCGCUUUUGUACGGAACGAAAAGGCUCUGGCUAAUACCUGGAGCUGAUGACGGUACCGUAAGAAUAAGCACCGGCUAACUACGUG
rnacentral:rRNA from 1 species